AGAGUUUGAUCCUGGCUCAGGAUGAACGCUGGCGNNUGCUUAACACAUGCAAGUCGAACGGAGNNUUCGGUACUUAGUGGCGGACGGGUGAGUAACGCGUGAGAAUCUGCCUUCAGGUUCGGGACAACCACUGGAAACGGUGGCUAAUACCGAAUGUGCAGCAAUGUGAAAAAUUUAUUGCCUGAAGAUGAGCUCGCGUCUGAUUAGCUAGUAGGUGUGGUAAGAGCGCACCUAGGCGACGAUCAGUAGCUGGUCUGAGAGGAUGAUCAGCCACACUGGGACUGAGACACGGCCCAGACUCCUACGGGAGGCAGCAGUGGGGAAUUUUCCGCAAUGGGCGAAAGCCUGACGGAGCAAUACCGCGGAGGGAGGAAGGCUCUUGGGUUGUAAACCUCUUUUCUCAAGGAAGAAAAAAAUGACGGUACUUGAGGAAUAAGCAUCGGCUAACUCCGUGCCAGCAGCCGCGGUAAUACGGAGGAUGCAAGCGUUAUCCGGAAUGAUUGGGCGUAAAGCGUCCGCAGGUGGCUAUGUAAGUCUGCUGUUAAAGAGUCUGGCUCACCAGAUAAAGGCAGUGGAAACUACAUGGCUAGAGUGCGUUCGGGGCAGAGGGAAUUCCUGNNGUAGCGGUGAAAUGCGUAGAGAUCAGGAAGAACCCGGUGGCGAAAGCGCUCUGCUAGCCGCAACUGACACUGAGGGACGAAAGCUAGGGGAGCGAAUGGGAUUAGAUACCCUAGUAGUCC
rnacentral:rRNA from 1 species